rnacentral:rRNA from 1 species
UACGAAGGGGGGCUAGCGUUGUUCGGAAUUACUGGGCGUAAAGGGCGCGUAGGCGGUCCUGAUCGUCGGAUGUGAAAGGCCUGGGCUCAACCUGGGAACUGCAUCCGAUACGGCGGGACUGGAGUGUGGGAGAGGUUGGUGGAAUUCCCAGUGUAGAGGUGAAAUUCGUAGAUAUUGGGAAGAACACCGGUGGCGAAGGCGGCCAACUGGACCACAACUGACGCUGAGGCGCGAAAGCGUGGGGAGCAAACAGG